UUUGACAGUUUAUACAUUUAAAUAGACUAAAGAAACUAUAAUAUCAAAUUCUAAAGUUCAGAACUGAAAACUAUAUUAUCUAAAAAACUUGGGGAGCUUUCCUUCAUAAAUAGUAACAAAAAACAAAUUAAUUUGGUGUCUCUCAGUCUCUACGGCACACCGCUUACUGCAAACCGUUCUCAAAUUUUCCUUUCAAGGUAUUUGAGCCUUCUCUUUCUUCUUUUGAAUUUAAUUCUGAAUUCGCAAUAAUUUUCUAUUUUAAAUUUUACGAUAGAUCUAUCUGCUCUUGCGCCAUAGUUUUGUGACCUGAUGUGUAGAUCGAUUUUAUAAUUUAUUCCUAUUGUUGAAAGAAAAUUCUAGGGGAGUGUUGAUGAUCUUUCAUUGAUAUUGGAUCUGUUUAAUCAUGUAUCAACUCUCUCAAGAAGUAUUUUGUUACAUUCCAGAAUUCUAUGCUCAAGUCUCCUUGCGAUCUGUUGGCUUCCCCCUAAAUCUUGUGUUUUGGUCCUGCAUAUAAUUUGUUGUUAAGAGAGUUCCCCGUUUUGAUAAUUAUUUGGCUUAUAUUUAUUGGAUUGAGAAUUUAUGUGAUUCACUGUCUGAGUUUCUUUGUUUUUAGACGAAUCGGAUAAAUUCUUCUGUGGAGGUUUCUAAAUGUUGUUUAUUAUAUCCUAAUUCCAAUGAUUUUGGCUCUGUAUCUGUCAUUUUUGUGGUUCGAUUUGCCAUUUUUGUCAAUAAUUUUAUAUGUUAGUGAUAAAAAAUUUUGUACUAUUUAAUUUUAUUUUUAGAAUAUAACGAGAUAAAUUUUGAUAGGGUCUUGUUUCUUGUUCUAACUUUAGAGAUGCAGAUUUUCGUGAAAACCUUGACUGGCAAGACUAUCACCCUCGAAGUGGAAAGCUCGAUACCAUUGACAACAUAAGAAUAAGGAGGGUAUUCCACCCGACCAACAGAGGCUCAUCUUCGUUGGUAAGCAACUUGAGGAUGGCCGUACCUUCGCAGACUACAACAUCCAGAAAGAGUCUACUCUGCACUUGGUACUUAGGUUGAGGGGAUGGAUUCAAAUUUUUGUCAAGGCUUUGACCGGAAAGACUAUCACUUUGGAAGUGGAGAGUUCUGACACCAUUGACAAUGUGAAGGCUAAGAUUCAGGACAAAGAGGGUAUUCCACCAGACCAGCAGCGAUUGAUCUUUGCUGGGAAAUAGCUGGAGGAUGGAAGGACCCUGGCCGACUACAACAUCCAAAUGGAGUCUACCCUCCAUCUUGUCCUCCGUGGUGGUUUUUGAUUUGCAGGUGGUGAUGUGUGGUCUUUGGUGUCGUCUCUACAGUGUCUGUUCCGUGGUUGUUUUAGCCAUUUUUGAAUGGCUUAUUUCAAACUUUAAUAUCUGAUGUUCUUGUUGCUUGUCGUGCCAGUUAUGUUUGUUUUUAAGCAUGGAAC
rnacentral:lncRNA from 1 species